GGGGUUAUGGCUCAGUAGUAGAGCACUUGUCUAUCAUGCGAGAGGCACUGGGUUCGAUUCUCAGCACCA
rnacentral:tRNA from 1 species